rnacentral:lncRNA from 1 species
UCGUUUUCUCUCCCCCUCCACCGAUCAAGCUCUCUCCUCCUCUUUCCUCCUCUUCGAUUCCUUCCUUUCAUGCCGAGAGCUUGAAUGCCUCCACCACCACCGUGCUGCGCUCCUCCACACAACCUGGUAUGCAGCACAUUUGCAUUUAAAGUCAGUCAGCCGAGCGAGUAAGAUGGCAGCGAUGAGUAGCAGCAAUAGCAACAGCAACAGCGUACCUCAUGGAAGCCACGCUCGGACGGAGAGAAGCGCUGCUCAAACCAACACCAUGGGAAUGCUGAGCCCCCUCAGCUUGAGCCUGUGGAAGAACAAGACCGGGGACGAGGAGACCGACAUAUCUGCGCGGCUUACUUGGAGAGAUCUCUUCGUCUCGGCCACCAAUGCGAAGGGAGAGACGCGCUCGCUGCUCCACGGUCUCAAUGGAUACGC